GCUCAACCGGGGAGGGUCAUUGGAAACUGGGGAACUUGAGUGCGGAAGAGGAGAGUGGAAUUCCACGUGUAGCGGUGAAAUGCGUAGAGAUGUGGAGGAACACCAGUGGCGAAGGCGACUCUCUGGUCUGUAACUGACGCUGAGGCGCGAAAGCGUGGGGAGCGAACAGGAUUAGAUACCCUGGUAGUCCACGCCGUAAACGAUGAGUGCUAAGUGUUAGAGGGUUUCCGCCCUUUAGUGCUGCAGCAAACGCAUUAAGCACUCCGCCUGGGGAGUACGGUCGCAAGACUGAAACUCAAAGGAAUUGACGGGGGCCCGCACAAGCGGUGGAGCAUGUGGUUUAAUUCGAAGCAACGCGAAGAACCUUACCAGGUCUUGACAUCCUCUGACAACCCUAGAGAUAGGGCUUCCCCUUCGGGGGCAGAGAGACAGGUGGUGCAUGGUUGUCGUCAGCUCGUGUCGUGAGAUGUUGGGUUAAGUCCCGCAACGAGCGCAACCCUUGAUCUUAGUUGCCAGCAUUCAGUUGGGCACUCUAAGGUGACUGCCGGUGACAAACCGGAGGAAGGUGGGGAUGACGUCAAAUCAUCAUGCCCCUUAUGACCUGGGCUACACACGCGCUACAAUGGGCAGAACAAAG
rnacentral:rRNA from 1 species